rnacentral:rRNA from 1 species
CGGAUCAGGUAGGGAUACCCGCUGAACUUAAGCAUAU